UACGUAGGGUGCGAGCGUUAAUCGGAAUUACUGGGCGUAAAGCGUGCGCAGGCGGCGCGUUAAGACAGGUGUGAAAGCCCCCGAGCUUAACUUGGGAAUUGCGCUUGUGACUGGCGUGCUGGAGUGUGGCAGAGGGAGGUGGAAUUCCACGUGUAGCAGUGAAAUGCGUAGAGAUGUGGAGGAACACCGAUGGCGAAGGCAGCCCUCCUGGGCCAGCAC
rnacentral:rRNA from 1 species